rnacentral:lncRNA from 1 species
AGCAUUUAGAGCAAAUCUGACAUAGGUAAAAUUGUUCAUCAGGUCAACAUCUAGCUGCCCUGAAAUUUUCAGAUGAAUCGGACAUUCCGUUGUUGGGUUGCUGCCCCUGAAAUGGUAAUUUUAAGGAAAUUUUGCUGUUUUUGGUUAUUAUCUUGAAUAUUAUUAUAGAUAGAGAUAAACUGUAAACAGCAAUAAUGUUCAGCAAAGUAAGAUCUACAAAUAAGUUAAACAUGACCAAAAUGGUCAGUUGACCACUUUAGGAGUUAUUGCCCUUUAUAGUCAAUUUUUAACCAUUUUUCGUAAAUCUUAGUAAUCUUUUAGAAAAUCUUCUCCUCUGAAACUACUGGGCCAAAUUUAACCAAACUUAACCAUAAUCAUCAUUGGGGUAUCUAGUUUAAAAAAUGUGUCCAGUGACUCGGCCAACCAACCAAGAUGGCUGCCAUGGCUAAAAAUAGAACAUCGGGAUAAAAUACAGUUUUUGGCUUAUAACUCAAAAACCAAAGCAUUUAGAGCAAAUUUGACAGGAUGUGAAAUUGUUUAUUAGGUGAAGAUCUGUCUGCCCUAAAAUUUUCAGAUGAAUCGGAUAACCGAUUGUUAGGUUGCUGCCCCUGAAUUGGUAAUUUUAAGGAAGUUUUGCCGUUUUUAGCUCACCUGGCCCAAAGGGCCAAGUGAGCUUUUCCCAUCACUUGGCGUCCGGCGUCCGUCGUCGUCUGGCGUCGUCCGUCGUCUGUCGUCCGUCGUCGUUAACUUUUACAAAAAUCUUCUCCUCUGAAACUACUGGGCCAAAUUUAACCAAACUUGGUCACAAUCAUCAUUGGGGUAUCUAGUUUAAAAAAUGUGUCCGGUGACCCGGCCAUCCAACCAAGAUGGCCGCCACGGCUAAAUAUAGAACAUAGGGGUAAAAUGCAGUUUUUGGCUUAUAACUCAAAAACCAAAGCAUUUAGAGCAAAUCUGACGUGAGUUAAAUUGUUCAUCAGGUCAAAAUCUAUCUGCCCUGAAAUUUUCAGAUGAAUCGGACAACCCGUUGUUGGGUUGCUGCCCCUGAAUUGGUAAUUUUAAGGAAAUUUUACUGUUUUGGUUUAUUAUCUUGAAUAUUAUUAUAGAUAGAGAUAAACUGUAAACAGCAAUAAUGUUCAGCAAAGUAAGAUUUACAAAUAAGUCAACAUGACCAAAAUGGUCAGUUGACCCCUUUAGGAG